UUCAGAGACCAAACCCUCAUCCCCUUAACCACCAGGGAAGUCCCCCCAAAUAGUAAGAAUUUAACGAUAAACAGCUAAAGGGCAAGAACACACAAGAUGACAGAUCAUAUAGGAGGAAAUUCCAAUAAAUGGGAAAACACUCAAAACAAUUAUUUAAAAAAUAUCUAUUUACUUUAUCAUUUUAAGGAAAUACACACCAAAAUAUGACUGGAUAAAAACCAACAAUGGCUGUCAUUAGGGCAGGUUAUAUAGGGCUUCCCUUUUUCUUGUGUAAACUCUCUUUGAUAAUGUUACAUUACUUUCACAAUUUAAAGAAAUUAUAAAAACUACAAAAAUAAUAGAAAAUGUCCAUUUUCUGUGAAAAACCUUGUUCAAAUAUUACACAGUAAGGC
rnacentral:lncRNA from 1 species